CCUACGGGGGGCUGCAGUGGGGAAUAUUGCACAAUGGGCGAAAGCCUGAUGCAGCAACGCCGCGUGAGCGAUGAAGGCCUUCGGGUCGUAAAGCUCUGUCCUCAAGGAAGAUAAUGACGGUACUUGAGGAGGAAGCCCCGGCCAACUACGUGCCAGCAGCCGGGGUAAUACGUAGGGGGCUAGCGUUAUCCGGAAUUACUGGGCGUAAAGGGUGCGUAGGUGGUUUCUUAAGUUAGAGGUGAAAGGCUACGGUUCAACCGUAGUAAGCCUUUGAAACCGGGGAACUUGAGUGCCAGAGAGGAGAGUGGAAUGCCUGGUGUAGCGGUGAAAUGCGUAGAUAUUGGGAAGAACACCAGUUGCGAAGGCGGCUCUCUGGACUGUAACUGACGCUGAGGCACGAAAGCGUGGGGAGCAAACAGGAUUAGAUACCCGAGUAGUC
rnacentral:rRNA from 1 species